rnacentral:rRNA from 1 species
UACGGGAGGGUGCAAGCGUUAUCCGGAUUUACUGGGUUUAAAGGGUGCGCAGGCGGAUAUGUAAGUCAGUGGUGAAAUCUCCGGGCUUAACCCGGAACUGCCGUUGAUACUAUAUAUCUUGAAUGCUGUGGAGGUAAGCAGAAUAUGUCAUGUAGCGGUGAAAUGCUUAGAGAUGACAUAGAAUACCUAUUGCGAAGGCAGCUUACUACGCAGAUAUUGACGCUCAUGCACGAAAGCGUGGGGAUCAAACAGG